rnacentral:lncRNA from 1 species
UUUUUCAAAUCAUGGUGCUUUAGUUAGUUUGUUAAUGGGUAGAAGAACAAUUGAUCAGAAGGCCCAUAAUCUUUUCAUGGAUGUAGAAGAAACAGAAAAGAUCCUUUCACGGUUGUACAAGGAAGCCCUAAAAUAUCUACCUUCUCCACCUUCGCUUCCUCUAAUAUGUACUCUAUCCCUCCCCUAGUUGAAAAACAAAUCCACCUCUCUCAAAACCAAGUCGAAGCAUGGAUCCCGUGUAGUCAAGGAGCUUAUUGCGUCAAGAUUAUUUUCCUCCUCUGGAUCAGGUUCGUUUUCCCACAAUUUUUAUUCUGAAUUUAUUUUCCUUCUGGUUUAUACUUGAAUCCACAUUAACUUCAGAUUCGAGUUCAAUUUGUUUUCAAUCACCCCUUCGGAUAGUGUCGUGCGCUCAAGGGAUUCAAUCUAGAAUCUUCUCACCUACAGUACAACCUAUGGAUGCCCGAGAUCGGUCGGGGCAUAACUAUGCUCAUCAGGUGAGUUUAUAAAAUAAGAAACCUGUUGUCUAAACAAACGUAAACAUGAAGGAGCCUAAUGUCAGUUGUCAACAUGCCGCUGGUUAAACCACUCCUAAAUCAAUUUUUGUAUGGGUAAAACAUGCCAGGGACCCUAUAUGGCAGGAUUAAUAUCUUUUCUUGAUUUCUUUUGUUGCUGCUCUGCCACAAUCUCCUGUUCAAGGAAGUACCUUGCCAAGCUAGCAUGUCCUGGCCGUUGUAGG